GGGUCAUUAGGUUGGUCGUGCCACCGGUACGUACUGGUCUCACUGAUUCCUCCUUCCUGAAGAACCGUAAUGCCAUUAAUUUGGUGUUGCGGGGAAACAGGACUGUUACUUUGAAAAAAUUAGAGUGUUUAAAGCAAGCUAACGCUUGAAUGCAUUAGCAUGGAAUAAUGAAAUAGGACGAUCGAUCCUAUUUUGUUGGUUUCUAGGAUUGACGUA
rnacentral:rRNA from 1 species